GAGCAUAGACAGGAUCCUUAUGUCUAGAUAGUAUACAAGACCUUUGGAGGACUCAAAGACCUGUGAGUAAUCCUAUCACACGAUAUGUUAUGCAGUUAUAUGAUUUGUUGCAACAUGUACUCCCAGAGAACACCAGCAUUAACCUAUGACCCACAGCUUGACCAAUGAGCUUUAGUCCAGCCCCCCACUAUAGAAAGGGAUGGCCAUCUUUAAUUAGCUCUCUUUCCUCAGACUCUUCUGAGAGUAACAUCAAAGCCUUUGCUGAAGCAGCUACCAUAGAAUCUCAGGACAAGUGAUCAGCAUCUGGAGUACCACCAAGCUACAACUCUCCAAAUGAGGCACCAUGUUCUGUCUCAGAGAAAAAAGAAGGUUCCAUGUCAUUUCUGGUCAAGGCUCCAUCUGUAAUAUGAAGUUCUCCCAGAGCUGGUGGGUGGAGCUCUCUUCCUCCAUAGACUUGUAUUGUUUGUCUUGCAGAGACAGGACAAAGAUGAGAUGAUUUUCAGAGAAGGUUUGAGGAGGAAGUUUGAUAACAGGAGUA